GGAAGCAAAAGUCGUAACAAGGUUUCCGUAGGUGAACCUGCGGAAGGAUCAUUAUUGUAUAACCGAGGUGCGAGGGCUGUCGCUGACCCGAAAGGUCGUGCACGCCCAAGUGCCCUCACACACAUCCAUCUCACCCCUAUGUGCACCACCGCGUGGGUCCCCCUUUGGCUUGUUCGGAGGGGGGCUUACGUUUUCACACAAACUUUGUAUGCAGUGUAGAAUGUAUUUUUUGUUUUUGCGAUCACGCAAUCAAUACAACUUUCAACAACGGAUCUCUUGGCUCUC
rnacentral:misc_RNA from 1 species